UUGCUGAGUUAAAGAGAUAAACAGCCCUUCGUAUAGAGAAAAAGGAACAAUCUUAGAUGGCCUUGGAUGCUCUUGAGACUGCCCUAAUGUUAUCCCCAGCUAUGGGACUCCUAGAUGUGACUGAGAACAAAGGUAUUGCCAAAAAAGUUCUUACUCAGAGAUUGGGACCCUGAAAAAGACCUGUGGCAUACUUGUAAGAAAUUAGACCUGGUGGCUGUAAGAUGGCCUGCUUGUCUGCACAUAGUGGCUUCUGGUCAAGGACGCAGAUAAAUUGACUCUGAGACAAAACUUGGCACAUGUCCUAGAAAGUGUGGUUCAGCCCCCAUGACCAAUGGCUGACUAACGCUCUUGAAAGCAUUAUCCAACCGUCCCCCUGACCGAUGGACACAUUAUCAGAGCUUUUUGUUGACUGAACGAGUGACCUUCGCUCCCCCUGCUAUCCUCAAUCUCACUACUGCCUGAGACUUCACCUACUCAUCAUUGUGCUGACAUUCUGGCAGAAGGAACUCAUACUCGAAAUGAUCUGAAGGAUCAGAUCAGCCUUGGCCUGAGAGUUCGAGCUGGUACACGGAUGGCAGUAGCCUGAAGGUUAAAGGUAAGCGGAAGGCGGGGACAGCAGUGCAGUGAUGGACAGAAAGCAAGUGAUCUAGGCCAGCAGCCUCCCUAAAGGGACUUCAGCCCAGAAAGCUAAACUUGUGGCUUUAAUACAAGCUCUAUAAAUGGUAAAAAAAAAAAAAAGUCUACACGGACAGCAGGUAUGCUCUUGCCACUGUACAGAGCAAUAUACAGACAAAGAGAGCUGUUGACAUCUGCAGAAAAAGACCUAAGAUGCUGUGGCUAAAAGAAAUCAGAUGGCAAAUCUAACCGCCCAGGCAUCCUAAAGAGCAAUGAUCCUGACAGUCUGAAGACUAUCAAGUUAUAGACAAAUUAAGACUGGUAAAAGAAACCCUGUAUAAAAUAGUAAAAACUGAAGAAAGAAAACUAGUCCUCUCAUGAGAAGACAUCUACUGAAAAAUAGACUUUACUGAAAAAAUAUGUGUAUGAAUACCUUCUGGUUUUUGUGAACAUUCUCAAGAUAGAUAAAAGCUUUUCCUUAUAAAACUGAGACUACUCAGAUAGUCAUCAAGAAGAUUAUUAAAAAUUUUCCAAGGUUCGGAGUGCCAAAAGCAAUAGUGUCAGAUAAUGGUCCUGCCUUUGUUGCCCAGGUAAGUCAGGGUGUGGCCAAGUAUUUAGAGGUCAAAUGAAAAUUGUAUUAUGUGUACAGACCUCAGAACUCAGGACAGAUAGAAAUAAUAAAUAAAACUCUAAAGAGACCUUGACAAAAUUAAUCCUAGAGACUGGCACAGACUUACUUGGUGCCCCUUCCCCUUGCCCUAUUUAAAACUGAAAAUACUCCCUCUUGAUUCAGUUUUGUUUUACUCUUUUUGAGAUCCUUUAUGGGGCUCCUGUGCCCAUCACUGUCUUAAAUGAUGUGUUUAUAAUAAUGAUCUAUAUGUUAAGUUAAAAGGCUUGCAGGUGGUGCAGAAAGAAGUCUGGUCACAACUGGCUACAGUGAACGAGCCAGGUACCCCAAGGACAGCUUACCAGUUCCAGCCAGAGAUCUGAUCUACGUACACCUGCGUCAUGCUGAGACCCUCAAGCCUCACUAAAAGGGUCCCUGCCUAGUUCUGUUUACUAAUCUGCCUUAUUCUGUUUCUGUUCCCAUGUUAAAGAUAGAGUAAAUGCAGUAUUCUCCACAUAGAGAUAUAGACUUCUGAAAUUCUAAGAUUAGAAUUACUUACAAGAAGAAGUGGGGAAUGAAGAAUAGAAAAUUACUGGCCUCUUGUGAAAACAUGAACUUUUUACCUCGGAGCCCACCCCCUCCCAUCUGAAAAACAUUUUUGAGAUAAAGGCCUCCUGGAACAACCUCAAAAUGAACCGGGUACAUUGCCAAAUGAUAGGACAUG
rnacentral:lncRNA from 1 species